rnacentral:rRNA from 1 species
UUGGACAAUGGGCGCAAGCCUGAUCCAGCCAUACCGCGUGGGUGAAGAAGGCCCUCGGGUUGUAAAGCCCUUUUGUUGGGAAAGAAAUCCGGCUGGUUAAUACCCGGUUGGGAUGCCGGUACCCAAAGAAUAAGCACCGGCUAACUUCGUGCUAGCAGCCGCGGUAAUACGAAGGGUGCAAGCGUUACUCGGAAUUACUGGGCGUAAAGUGUGCGUAGGUGGUUGUUUAAGUCUGUUGUGAAAGCCCUGGGCUCAACCUGGGAACUGCAGUGGAAACUGGACAACUAGAGUGUGGUAGAGGGUAGCGGAAUUCCUGGUGUAGCAGUGAAAUGCGUAGAGGUCAGGAGGAACAUCCAUGGCGAAGGCAGCUACCUGGACCAACACUGACACUGAGGCACGAAAGCGUGGGGAGCAAACAGGAUUAGAUACCCUGGUAGUCCACGCCCUAAACGAUGCGAACUGGAUGUUGGGUGCAAUUUGGCACGCAGUAUCGAAGCUAACGCGUUAAGUUCGCCGCCUGGGGAGUACGGUCGCAAGACUGAAACUCAAAGGAAUUGACGG